GCGGGAUUCGUACCCGUUGAAAGGAAUGUAGCCCGUAAGGGCUGAACCUUGAG
rnacentral:ncRNA from 1 species